GAAUCCAUCCGGACAUUUCGAAAAAUCAUCCUAUUUUUGACCUUCCAAAUGAUUUAUCAGCAGGCUACUAGAGUUGAUAGCUUUCUAACAUUGACACAGGAAAAAAAAAAAAGCUACGAAUUGUGGUGGAGCUGAUUUAUUGGGAGAAGAUGUUCCCAAAACUUCGUCGGUGACUUCAACUUGUAGGCAACUAGUAGGAAAUCCGUUCAGACAUUUCGAAAGAUCAUUCAAUUUCUAACCUCUCAAAUAAUUUACCAGCAGGUUACUAAAGCUGAUAGCUUGCUAGCCAUCGAUUGAGGUCCUUUCUUGCUCGUCCACCUGAAAUUAUUAAUUGCUUAUACUGUAGCCCCACAAAAACCAAUAGGAGCACAGUGAGAUCCGGUGUCAAUUCAAAAAGGAAAAACUUCAAAAACCCCCCUGUGGUUUCGUAGUUUUUCACCUUACCCCCCUGUGUUUUAAAAUGUAUCAAGUUGCCCCUCUGUGGUUUUGUUUUAUCUUUUGGGUAGCUUUUUCGUUAAUAUUUUAUUAAAUUAUAUACAAAAAACUUCAGAUACCCAUCUAGAUUUAUCAAAUAUUUACUUUAGUACCCUUUAAUUUUAACUUUAUCACUGAUUUAAGAAAAAAAAUAAUAAAAUUGAUAAGAAAAAUAGAAAAACAAAACCACAGAGGGGUAAAUUGAUACAUUUUAAACCAUAGGGGGGCAAAGUGAGAAACUAUAAAAUCACAGGGCGGGUUUUUGAAGUUUUCCCAUUCGAAAAGGACAAAGUGAAAUGCUUUGGGUAAUGCAAUUAUUGAUG
rnacentral:lncRNA from 1 species